rnacentral:misc_RNA from 1 species
GAACGCAUAUUGCGCUCUCUGGUAUUCCGGAGAGCAUGCUUGUUUGAGUAUCAGUAAACACCUCAAAUCCCUCUACUUGUUGGAGGAAUUUGGACUUGAGCAAUCCCAACUUUUCGAAAGAGAAGGCGGGUUGCUUGAAAUGCAGGUGCAGCUAGAUUCUUUCUUCUGAGCUAUAAGCAUACUUAUUUAAUCCCGUCAAACGGAUUAUUACUUUUGCUGCAGCUAACAUAAAGGUUGAAGAGUCGCUAUGGCUGACUGAUGCAGGAUUUAACAUUUCGCGCAAGCGAUUUGUAAACUCGAUCUCAAAUCAAGCAAGACUACCCGCUGAACUUAAG